rnacentral:rRNA from 1 species
CGUUGGGAACUAGAUGUGGGGACCAUUCCACGGUCUCCGUGUCGCAGCUAACGCAUUAAGUUCCCCGCCUGGGGAGUACGGCCGCAAGGCUAAAACUCAAAGGAAUUGACGGGGGCCCGCACAAGCGGCGGAGCAUGCGGAUUAAUUCGAUGCAACGCGAAGAACCUUACCAAGGCUUGACAUAUACCGGAAACGGCGAGAGAUCGUCGCCCCGCAAGGUCGGUAUACAGGUGGUGCAUGGUUGUCGUCAGCUCGUGUCGUGAGAUGUUGGGUUAAGUCCCGCAACGAGCGCAACCCUCGUUCUAUGUUGCCAGCACGUAAUGGUGGGAACUCAUGGGAUACUGCCGGGGUCAACUCGGAGGAAGGUGGGGACGACGUCAAAUCAUCAUGCCCCUUAUGUCUUGGGCUUCACGCAUGCUACAAUGGCCAGUACAAAGGGCUGCAAUACCGUAAGGUGGAGCGAAUCCCAAAAAGCUGGUCCCAGUUCGGAUUGAGGUCUGCAACUCGACCUCAUGAAGUCGGAGUCGCUAGUAAUCGCAGAUCAGCAACGCUGCGGUGAAUACGUUCCCGGGCCUUGUACACACCGCCCGUCAAGUCAUGAAAGUCGGUAACACCCGACGCCGGUGGCCUAACCCUUUAUUGGGAGGGAGCCGUCUAAGGUGGGAUUGUAAUUAGGGUUA